AGAUCGCUGAGAAUGAACGCUGGCGGCAGGCCUAACACAUGCAAGUCGAGCGGAUGACGGGAGCUUGCUCCUUGAUUCAGCGGCGGACGGGUGAGUAAUGCCUAGGAAUCUGCCUGGUAGUGGGGGACAACGUUUCGAAAGGAACGCUAAUACCGCAUACGUCCUACGGGAGAAAGCAGGGGACCUUCGGGCCUUGCGCUAUCAGAUGAGCCUAGGUCGGAUUAGCUAGUUGGUGGGGUAAUGGCUCACCAAGGCGACGAUCCGUAACUGGUCUGAGAGGAUGAUCAGUCACACUGGAACUGAGACACGGUCCAGACUCCUACGGGAGGCAGCAGUUGGAAAAGACUAUAUAGUGGACGGAGAUUAUCAUCUGCUGGCCUCAUAAAAGAACAGCGCGUGCGUAGUAGAUGUUCUUUUUAUUGGGAAACUGGUGAGUGUGAAAAGACCCCCCCGGUUUGGGUCUACAAACAGAAUAAGCUCCCGGGAACUGUGUGCCAGCAGCCGCGCUACUACACAAUAUAGUCGCGCCAACCACUACUGAUAUUUGUGAUAGAGAGGGGGUGGUUUGUUAAGUUGGAGAAUAAAACUUCUCUUGUGAUGCGGCGGUAGCAUCCAAAAAUGGCGGGAUAAUAUAGGGGAGAGGGUGGUGGACCCCCCCGGGGGGCGAGAAGGGCGCGCCCCACGAAGGAACACCGGGGGCGAAAUCCUGCCCCUUGAGGGUCGAAAAAGCGGGGGGGGGACAAACAGGGAUUGAAAACCCCUGGGUAUUUCCCCCCCCCGGAAAACGAAUUUCAAAUCAGCCGGUUGGGGGCCCUUGAACUUUUUAGGGGGGGGCCAGCUAAACCCCAUUAAAGUUUGCCCGCCUGGGGGAAGUACGGCCCGCAAGGUUUAAAACUCCAAAUGAAAUUGACGGGGGGCCCCGCCCCAAGCGGGUGGAGGCAAGGUGGGUUUAAUUUCGAAAGCAACGCGAAAGAACCUUACCAGGGCCCUUGAACAUGCAGGAGAACUUUCCAGAGAUGGAUUGGUGCCUUCGGGAACUCUGACACAGGUGCUGCAUGGCUGUCGUCAGCUCGUGUCGUGAGAUGUUGGGUUAAGUCCCGUAACGAGCGCAACCCUUGUCCUUAGUUACCAGCACGUUAUGGUGGGCACUCUAAGGAGACUGCCGGUGACAAACCGGAGGAAGGUGGGGAUGACGUCAAGUCAUCAUGGCCCUUACGGCCUGGGCUACACACGUGCUACAAUGGUCGGUACAGAGGGUUGCCAAGCCGCGAGGUGGAGCUAAUCCCAUAAAACCGAUCGUAGUCCGGAUCGCAGUCUGCAACUCGACUGCGUGAAGUCGGAAUCGCUAGUAAUCGCGAAUCAGAAUGUCGCGGUGAAUACGUUCCCGGGCCUUGUACACACCGCCCGUCACACCAUGGGAGUGGGUUGCACCAGAAGUAGCUAGUCUAACCUCGGAGGACGUACCUCGCGAAGCUAUUCAUGUACGGGUGGAAGUCGUAACAAGGUAGCCGUAGGGGAACCUGCGGCU
rnacentral:rRNA from 1 species